rnacentral:rRNA from 1 species
CCUACGGGAGGCAGCAGUGAGGAAUAUUGGUCAAUGGCCGCAGGGCUGAACCAGCCAAGUCGCGUGAGGGAUGACGGUCCUAUGGAUUGUAAACCUCUUUUGUCAGGGAGCAAAGUGCGCCACGUGUGGCUCUUUGCGCGUACCUUAUGAAUAAGCAUCGGCUAACUCCGUGCCAGCAGCCGCGGUAAUACGGAGGAUGCGAGCGUUAUCCGGAUUUACUGGGUUUAAAGGGGGCGCAGGCGGAAUGUCAAGUCAGCGGUAAAAUUUCGGGGCUCAACCCCGUCGUGCCGUUGAAUCUGGGGUUCUUGAGUGAGCGAGAGGUAGGCGGAAUGCGUGGUGUAGCGGUGAAAUGCAUAGAUAUCACGCAGAACUCCGAUUGCGAAGGCAGCAUACCGGAGCGCAACUGACGCUGAUGCACGAAAGCGUGGGUAUCGAACAGGAUUAGAUACCCUUGUAGUC